rnacentral:rRNA from 1 species
UUCGUGAAGCUGGAUUCGCUAGUAAUCGCGCAUCAGCCACGGCGCGGUGAAUACGUUCCCGGGCCUUGUACACACCGCCCGUCAAGCCAUGGGAGCCGGGGGUACCUGAAGUACGUAACCGCAAGGAGCGUCCUAGGGUAAAACUGGUGACUGGGGCUAAGUCGUAACAAGGUAGCCGUACCGGAAGGUGCGGCUGGAACACCUCCUUU